UUAAACUAUUAUAUAAAAGUUAAUUAAUUUAAUAUAAAUAAUAUGAAAUAGUAAAUAAAAAAUUUGUAUCAAAAAUUAAUUUUUAAUGGUGAAAUAUAAAAAAUUAUAAAUUUAUACAAUUUAAUUUUAUAUAAUUUUUAAGGUUAAAAAAAUAAACUAGGAUUAGAUACCCUAUUAUAUUGAAGUAAAAUUUUUAAUAUUAAAGUAUUAAAUGUUAAAUCAUUAAAUUUAUAAGAUUUGGCGGUAUUUUAUACAAAUUAGGGGAACUUGUUUAGUAAUUGAUGAACCACGAUAAGAAUUACUUAAUUUAAUAUUUAUGUAUUGCUGUUUAAAAAUAUAUUUUAAGAAUAUACAUUAUAAUUUAUAAAAAUAAAAUAAUUCAAGUCAAAAUAUAGUUUAAUUAAGAUAAAAUGAGUUACAAAAAAAUUAAUUUAUAUGAAUUUUUAUAUUUAAAAAUAAAAUGAAGGUGGAUUUAAGAGUAAAUUUAAUAAAUAAAUUAAUUUGAAAUUUUGUUUUAAAAU
rnacentral:rRNA from 1 species